CAGUAGCCGCGGUAAUACGCAGGUGGCAAGCGUUGUCCGGAAUUAUUGGGCGUAAAGGGCUCGCAGGCGGUUUCUUAAGUCUGAUGUGAAAGCCCCCGGCUCAACCGGGGAGGGUCAUUGGAAACUGGGAAACUUGAGUGCAGAAGAGGAGAGUGGAAUUCCACGUGUAGCGGUGAAAUGCGUAGAGAUGUGGAGGAACACCGGUGGCGAAGGCGACUCUCUGGUCUGUAACUGACGCUGAGGAGCGAAAGCGUGGGGAGCGAACAGGAUUAGAUACCCCUGUAGUCCCUGUCUCUUAUAC
rnacentral:rRNA from 1 species